rnacentral:rRNA from 1 species
AUGACCCCUGCGAUAAAACAAUUUUUCACCAGGUCCCUACACAAGUUUUGCCGAUGGCAUAAAACAAACAAGUACACCUCGCAUAUUUCAUACUUGUACAACUUGCACCCCACUUUGAAGGCUGAGUUUGAGGAAAUCAUAAAUUGGCCCCUGAUGCCAACUGAAUUUGAGACAGCUUGGCACCAGCUAGUUGAUAAAUACAAGCUUCAUGAUGAUCACAUGAUUCUGCACAUGUGGGCAGACAGGAAGGAAUGGAUAUCGUCUUACUUCAAAGAGGUUUUCUCUGCAAGGAUGACUUCGACUCAACGAAGUGAAAGUAUGAACUACAUACUCAAGAAAGGAUUUGUCAAACAAGACCAAAACCUGCACCGAUUUGCUGAGCAAGUAAACAACUGCAUAUUUUCAAGGAGGCAAGUUGAAAAUGCACAAACAUUGGCAUCAAUGACAGAACCAAACACAAGAACUCAUUACGGUUUUGAGAAGCAGUUCAAUGAGCACUAUACAAAAGCCGUAUUCACCGAGUUCAGGAGGAAACUUAAAAAUAGUACACUCUUCCGCAUAAAAACAAGCCAGGAUCCUACAGUUGACAAACAAAAUUAUCUUGUGACCUACCAUGAGCCAACGGAUACGUUCUCAUAG